rnacentral:rRNA from 1 species
GGGGGCAAGCGUUGUCCGGAAUCAUUGGGCGUAAAGCGCGCGUAGGCGGCCAGAUAAGUCCGGUGUGAAAGUCACAGGCUCAACCUGUGAAUGCCGCUGGAAACUGUCUGGCUUGAGUCCGGAAGGGGCGAGUGGAAUUCCUGGUGUAGCGGUGAAAUGCGCAGAUAUCAGGAGGAACACCAAUGGCGAAGGCAGCUCGCUGGAACGGUACUGACGCUGAGGCGCGAAAGCGUGGGGAGCGAACAGG